UGAUUGACAUGCAUACAGGAUACAUACUUAGCUCUAACUAUCUUUAUCUGUGUAUGUUCACAGUUACUGCUCAGAGGACAUGCAGGUGAGUACAGUUUAUUUCAGUAUGCAUUUCUUAUUAUUCUUACAGUAGACUGUAUUAUAUGUCUAUGGUUGAUUACUACAGUUUACUCAGUUAUGUAUACUGUUAUAUUGAUUAGGAGACUGUACUAUAGGUUAUUAUUGGUAGUUAUAUGUUAUUGUACAUAUCUAUUGGUUAUCUGCUGAGUUCUUUGGACUCACACCGUUACAUUACUACUUUUCAGGUUGAGGCCGUCGGGAGAUUUCAGUCGCUAGCCCCCCCUUGUCGCGAUGAUUCUCCAUUGUCUACUUUUAUUUCCGUUCUAUGUCGUUUUAUACUUAUGAUGUGAGAUUCUUGUAUUGUGGACUUUAUGAUGAACUUUUGGGUUUGCUACUUUUGUUUUCUCCGCUGCGGAUGCUUUCAUUACUUUGCGGAUUUAAUUUCUUCGUAGUAGUGUAGGAUUUACAUAGAUCUGUGAUGAUUCCUUUAUCGUCUUUUCUUUUAGUAAUUUUUAUUGACAGGCAGAGGCUGAAUAUUAAACUGCAUUGAUUGAUUAUAUAAAUUGCGUGGUUUGUCUAUUAUUUGUAUUGUAUUGUAUUGUAUUGUUCCGGUCGUGUGGGCCGAGGUAUGAAUAUAUGUAUCUUAGGAUUCAUAUUAUCAUCUGUACAGGGGAGAUGUUGCCGAAAUUUAAUCGGCAAGGACUACCUGUGGCAUGACAAUAUUUUUGGUAUCAGAGCUCAGUUUUUACGAGUUUUGCGAGUUUAUCUGGAUAUUCUUGAAUUGUACGGAUUUUCGUCGAUUUUACUAUUCGGAAUUCCGAGGUAUUUGACGAGGUUCUAUUUGGGGACUAAGCGGCGAUAGGACAUCUCCAGACGGCAAAUAGAUAUGACACAUACACGUAUUCCGGUACCGAGACGUGGACGCCCACGUAAGAGGGCGAUAGAUUCUCCGGAGACAGAGUAUUCAUAGAGGUCUGCUAGAGUCGAGCCUGUCCGUCAGGGGCAGACUCCUCAGGACAUUGUGGGCACAUCUGCUUAUCAGACCCCGAUAGUUCCGGCUCGAAGAAAAUCCACCACCGUCCACAAAUCUAUGCCGCCAGUCGAUGACGACGAUUGGGAAGAAAAGAUUAUUCCCCAGAGUUGGCAGAGAGAACGUGGAGGAGGCGAUCGAGACAGGGAUUGAUUUGAGGAAGGGUAACGGGAUAAACCAAGGAACGAUAUAUAAAAACCCGAUUCAUCUCCCGGUUCAAUGUAAUCUCUUCGAAGACGGGGAAAAGAACAAAUAGGUCAUCUGAGUGUUAAAUCAAUCGGGACCGUUGCACUAUCAAGGAUAGCUCCUUGACGCCCGGUACGGUACAGUGGCAAAAUGUUAAAUGGAUUUAGAGUAUCACGAUUGAAAAUUGGAGCAAGACAUUUUAAAUUUUCGUGGAGAUCGGUUCCUGAGUGGUUUACCUUCAGGAUUAGUCGAAUUGAUAAGGAUUUGAUAUUUAGGUUAACAAAAACAUGGAUAGCACCUUGACACGAUCUGAUUCGAGUCUUAGAUUAUCUCUCAUGGGCAGUGAAUAGACUCAAUGGACCACGCCUUGUGACUCGCGAUAAUCGGAAAACGAUGCCAGUUGGCUUUCCAUUUUUGUAAAUCGUUAUUGGUCGUUCACAUGGCGAAGGCGAGGAGAGCAAUCCCUAGCCGACGCAAUUUUAUUGCUUUCCGCUCACUUAUCCCACUUCCUCAGUCGCCGUUGCUCCACUCCUGCUCGUCUCCUUCGAGUCUUAUCAAUCGUACCUAUUGAGGGAGGUAAAUAUAGAUACAUAAUUGAAAGUAUAUAGCAGAAAUGUUAACCCUAGACCGUGACACUCCGAGAAUCAAAUCCUGGAUCUUUCGGCCACAAGACCAUCCGCCUCCAACUGUGCUAUGCCCCGGGGACAAGUUUUACCCAUACUAGCUAUUAAAGAGUGUGCUUAUCUAUGUUAGUGGCCAUGGCUGAGAGCUCUGGGCCUUUUCGUAAGCAUCCGAUUAACCUUAUCUGUUUCAGACCUACCCUCAAUUAUACCAUUUGUUGUGACCCAAUGAGGGAUAAUCAACGAGGUUAAUUGGGUUUACCAUUUGUUGUGACCCAAUAAUAUUCACAUAUCUCUACAAUAAUAUGAUAUUAACUAUUUUAGAUCUAAGCUUUCAUAAUUUUACUCUUGUACUGUAUUUAAAAAAUCUCAUGCCAAUAAAAAUAUCAUACAUCCUUAUAAACUUGUAAGCUUUUUAUAGCACGAGAAGAUAUAACUUCUCGUGCGCCGGAAUCCUUGGGUUCACCUUCCCCAAGGGUUAUAGUGUUGAUCGGGGCGACGAGUGGGACACGGGGACAAGUGAUAUUGGGGACAGGAGAUUUAAAGUUCUUUAUGGCUGUGAUUCCUGACUUGGCCACGACCUCAUGCCGGCUACAACUCCUGGGUAGAUCUAAAUUCGUGAUGACUUGAGGUAAUACAUUGACUGACUCAUGGCCUAGGAGUGACCUCAUGUCAGUUUCAUGGCUAAAACCGAAGCACGUACGAGGCUGCAAUCCACGUUCGGAUCGCGGGACUAGAACAUUAGACAAUCAUCCAAGUAUUUCAAUGCAAAAACGAGGUCCAUUGAGUCUAUUCACUGCCCAUGAGAGAUAAUCUAAGACUCUAAUCAGAUCGUGUCAAGGUGCUAUCCAUGUUUUUAUUAACAUAAAUAUCAAAUCCUUACCAAUUCGAUUAAUCCUGAAGGUAAACCACUCAGGAACCGAUCUCCACGAAAAUUUAAAAUUUGUCUUGCUCCAAUUUUCAAUCGUGAUACUCUAAAUCCAUCUAACGUUUUGCCACUGUACCGUACCGGGCGUCAAGGAGUUAUUCUUGAUAGUGCAACGGUCCCGAUUGAUUUAACACUCAGAUGACCUAUUUGUUCUUUUCCCCGUCUUCUAAGAGAUUACAUUGAACCGGGAGAUGAACCGGGUUUCUAUAUAUCGUUCCUUGAUUUAUCCCUUAACCCUUCCUCGAAUCGAUCCCUGUCUCGAUUGCCUCCUCCAUGUUCUCUCUUCCAGCUCCGGCGAGAAUCUUUUCUUCCCGAUCGUCGUCAUCGACUGACGGCAUAGAUUUAUGGACGGUGGUGGAUUUUCUUCGAGGCGGAUCUCCUUCCUCCUCCGUCGAAAUCUUCUGCCACAAGGUCCAUUGCGGCUUCUUCCUUUUGUUCGAUUAGCUAGAUCCUUCUUUGUCUGUGCCGUACUUGAGUAAAGGUCCUGGUUACAAUUCUACCUGCGUGUUACAUCAUGUGAAAUCUUCUGAAUUUAAAUUAUUGAAUUUUAUUUUGUGUUUUUGUGAUUCAAGGAAGUAAUAUUUUCUUAUGCUGUCAGAUUUUUGAUAUUAUCACUUAAGCAUUGUUGGUUGAUGAGUGUUAGCAAUUAACCCUGGUUGUUUGGAGGAACUAAUGCUUAGCAAUCAACCCUGGUUGUUUGAAGGGUAUUAGCCCAAAACAAGCAUUGAGAGUGAAUGCUUCAUUGGAAGAUUAUAAAGGGAAAGAAAACAUUUAGGAUUAUAUGUGCUUGAUAUUAUUGCUUAAAAACAUUAACCAAAACUGUAGCUAUGACAUGAUGAAUUCUUUAAAUAAAAAGAUUAAAAUAUAAUAAGAUUUAAUAGUAUAAAUGCAAUGUAAUUAUUAAGGAUUCACUUCUUCUUUACUAUUGACUUUGAGCCUAAGUUAGCUGUUGACAGGGUAGAAACGCAGAUAAUAGUUGAUAAUUUUACACUUGGAUAGGACACGCAAGGACUUUACUUACUACUGGGAUUGUUUUUGGCAACACUUGCUAUUGGGAUUUAGGAGCAUGUACCAAUGGGAUGGAACAUUGUCUCCAAGUGAGUUUGAUAUUUCUGUUGCUGAUCUUUGUGAGAGAUGGAGAGAAGUUGACGCUUCUCUUCCUCAUGGGUUUGGCUACCUGAUCGUGCACUAGGUGCUUUGUCAUGCGAUGUGGCAGCAGGAUACCUAGCAAUCGAAAAUAUUUAUCAUCAAAAUGCAAGUGAGGAAGGAAGUUGCGAGGAAAGCAUAUCCAGGGACGAAGAGCCUUUUGAUGAGGCUACCUUGGUUUCAAGUAACAAAAAUGACAUGCAUAUCUAUGAUUACCACAUACUCUACAGCUUCACUUUCAGGGUUCCUGUUCUUUAUUUCCGUGGAUAUCAAUCUGAUGGUUGUCCUUUGAAGUUAGUUGACAUCGAGAAAGACCUGCCUGCUUACUCUCUCAAACUACUUAGGGAAUCAAAAUGGGCAUUCAUCACCCAGGAGGAUCAUCCUUACCUCCAUCGACCAUGGUAUACUUUACAUCCCUGUGGUACAGGUGAUUGGAUGAAGUUUUUGCUUUGCAGUGAUGCUCCAAAUAAGAUCCCUGCUCUUCAUGGCUAUUUAUCUGCGUGGCUAUCAGUCAUAGGUCAGGUUGUUGGGUUGAGAAUUCCUAUUGGGUUAUUUAAAUCAGUGUAGAUGGUCGAUGGCUAUGACUGACAAAAACUUUGUAAUUUCACAAAAGCUUAUUAAUGCUAAAUUUUCACAUCUCCCUCGUAA